rnacentral:piRNA from 1 species
UACUGGCAAAGUUCAAAGUGUUGGCAAGGC